AUUGAACGCUGGCGGCAGGCCUAACACAUGCAAGUCGAAUGGUAACAGGAAACAGCUUGCUGUUUCGCUGACGAGUGGCGGGCGGGUGAGUAAUGUCUGGGAAACUGCCUGAUGGAGGGGGAUAACUACUGGAAACGGUAGCUAAUACCGCAUAACGUCGCAAGCCCAAAGAGGGGGACCUUCGGGCCUCUUGCCAUCAGGUGUGCCCAGAUGGGAUUAGCUAGUAGGUGGGGUAACGGCUCACCUAGGCGACGAUCCCUAGCUGGUCUGAGAGGAUGACCAGCCACACUGGAACUGAGACACGGUCCAGACUCCUACGGGAGGCAGCAGUGGGGAAUAUUGCACAAUGGGCGCAAGCCUGAUGCAGCCAUGCCGCGUGUAUGAAGAAGGCCUUCGGGUUGUAAAGUACUUUCAGCGGGGAGGAAGGGAGUAAAGUUAAUACCUUUGCUCAUUGACGUUACCCGCAGAAGAAGCACCGGCUAACUCCGUG
rnacentral:rRNA from 1 species